AUCGACCAAUCAGGGAGCCUACACAAACCAAUUUGAAUUUCCGCAAUUAUAUGCAGUUAUGGCAGUUCAUAAUAUGCAAAUUGGCUGCGGUAUGGACAGGAAAAGUUGGAAUACCUUGCACUAUUGAUUCUGCUAGAAUGCUUUACAGUAAAUAUUUGUGCAGCAGACAUUUCCUGGAAAGUGAUUUCACUACAGCUGAAAGGGUAUAACUGAACAAAGUGGCAGUUCCAUGUGGCUCAGAUUCUGCUUCACAGUAAUUCCCACAACCUCCUGUCCCUUCCUUGAAUCCCUUACCUCACAAAGACUGCUCAUGUUGUUUUUCCCACCACCUACAACAAGACACUGGUACCAUCCCCUGUAACACAUAUUCCUAUCGUUCCUAUCCAUGCACAUGGUCCUUCCACUUCCUUUAAAAUGUCUGCAGUGCAACCAUUACCAACAGCAGCCACAAACUUUUGCAGUGAAAGAAACCUUGUUUUACCUAAGCCCUGUAAAUAUAAAUGCUUCUGAUGGGGACCUCAGGCAUAUCAAUCAUUGCAGCAAGCCACAACACUGUAUUGGCUACAGGAGGGUGUUGUGGUGAAUACCUGACAAGAGCUGUUUGAUGAUCACCUUAUGAACACAUUUGGAGCUAUUCGUUCAUAGUCUGGUUUGGACAAUAAUCCUACUGUGGAACAUUUUGUAGAUGCCCUGAAGACUAACAUUAUCAAUGCACUUGCUAUCAGAGGUCUUUGUGGAACUGUUUGGGAGUAUGAUGGUGCUACUGUUCUGGGUAACCUACAGUCAUUGUUCAGGGCACCUGAUGUUUCUUCACUAAAUCCGUCCAUAAGUCAUGGCAAGGAAACCCCUGAUGAUGUUCCUAAGAGUUUCCAUGUAACUGAACAAGUACAAAAGGAAAAUUGUUGCUUCAGUACAUACUGGUGACAUGGAAGUGGUCUCAGUAGCCUAUGUCAGUGGUUCCAUUGCCAGACAGGUGCUUUGUGGUGUCAGCUAUGAUGCAUGCAAGACAUGCCUGAUAUCUGAAGUGCUGCUAUGAGCCAAUUUCUUCAUAUAUUUCAAGGAGUACAGGGAUACAGAACAGUCUCUCACAUGUCCUUCUGAGACAUUGGUCUGGAGAUUGCUGAUACGCUGUAAAUAUAAUGGAGUUUACGAUGGAAGGCACUUCAAUUCAUGUUGCUGCAUAUCACAGCUGCCAUUAAGAGCACCAUUGACUUGGAGUGGAUUAGGUGUACUGGUUGUUCAUCUCAGUACCGAUGAAUAGUGGACGGUAUUGUGAGAUGUCUCACAAGAAUUUACAUUCCUUGAUGGUGUAAGCAAACAGACAGGUUGAUGACUGAAGCAGCCAGACAGAGGACCACUGAGAGGAAGCUGAAGAUACUUACACAUCAGUAAGUCGUUAGGAAAGUAAUGCUUCUUCAUAUUUGCCUUGUAAUAUCCUGCCCAUACUAGCCCUGAAAAUCGGCAGGGAGCAGUUAUUGAAUUACUAGAAUAAUAUAUGCCAACUGCUAACAUGACUUCAACAGAUGUUUCGUAAGUUGGAGAAAGGAACCCUGGUGACAAGCAACUGCAACCACCAUACCUUCAUAUGCUCUUGUCUCAAACCUUUGGUACUGAGUAAUUUUUUGGUAACAUUGUCACCUACAGUCAGAUUACAUACAAGAAACCAAAUCUGAUCUUCAGCUCCAUCACUUCCUUGCUUUGGAGACCUGUUUCCUUCUCAGUAUAUUAGAACAUCAUUGUCAGAAGAUGGUCAGAGUUCAUUCUGCCUUGUAUCUUUAACACUUUGUGGACAUGAAAGUUUGCGAGCUAUUGGCAAACAAGAUAAGAAAAGAGCUAAGUAGCCCAGUAGAUUUAAUUAUACCUUGCACUGGCGCCAGGCAGACACAUGACUGCUGCGUGAUAGACCUCUUGAAUGUUUGCUUCGAAGUCAGUAACAUGAACCUGCUGUUUAUGACCCAACUGUUUUCCUUUCUCACUCCAAAAGAAAAUGCCUUUGUUCAUCUUCCAGCUGCAUGCACCGGGCAGGAAGUUACUAGUGCAAAAUGGAUAAAGUUCUGAAGAGGUUGAAGUCAGAGCGUUUUCUCGGAAAACAAGAAAUAUCUGACUUGUUCUACUAUAAAUGUGAUAGUGACUCUGAUAGUGAGUGUGGCAGGGGCGAACAAAAAAUUGUGGCCACAGACAGUGAACAUGUUUCCACCCAGACUAACGAUUCAUUAGGAAUAUGCAGAUUAUGGGUAAGUUAAUACUGACGUUUUCAUUUUCAGUAUAUUGGUGAAUUGUAAGUGAUACAUUCAAGUGAUAGUGACUUUGGUAGAGACUGUGGCAGGAGCGAACAAAAAAUUGUGGCCACAGGCAGUGAACAUAUUUCCACGCAGACUGGUGAUUAAUGAGGAAUAUUCUGAUUAUGGCAAAGUUAAGAAUUCACAACCUCACUUUUUAUGAAAAUUGUGAAGUGCGAACAUGCCAAGGGGAAGUAUCCUUCUAGGCAGUGCUGUGUUUGC